AUUGAACGCUGGCGGCAUGCCUAACACAUGCAAGUCGAGCGGAUGAAGGGAGCUUUCUCCUGGAUUCAGCGGCGGACGGGUGAGUGAUGCCUAUGAAUCUGCCUGGUAUUGGUGUAUAACGUCCUGAAACGGGCGCUAAUACCGCAUACGUCCUGAGGGUGAAAGUUGGGGAUCUUCGGACCUCACGCUAUCAGAUGAGCCUAGGUCGGAUUAGCUAGUUGGUGGGGUAAAGGCCUACCAAGGCGACGAUUCGUAACUGGUCUGAGAGGAGGAUCAGUCACACUGGAACUGAGACACGGUCCAGACUCCUACGGGAGGCAGCAGUGGGGAAUAUUGGACAAAGGGCGAAAGCCUGAUCCAGCCAUGCCGCGUGUGUGAAGAAGGUCUUCGGAUCGUAAAGCACUUUAAGUUGGGAGGAAGGGCAGUAAGUUAAUACCUUGCUGUUUUGACGGUACCAACAGAAUAAGCACCGGCUAACUACGUG
rnacentral:rRNA from 1 species